rnacentral:rRNA from 1 species
UGGGGAAUAUUGGACAAUGGGCGAAAGCCUGAUCCAGCCAUGCCGCGUGUGUGAAGAAGGUCUUCGGAUUGUAAAGCACUUUAAGUUGGGAGGAAGGGCAGUAAGUUAAUACCUUGCUGUUUUGACGUUACCGACAGAAUAAGCACCGGCUAACUCUGUGCCAGCAGCCGCGGUAAUACAGAGGGUGCAAGCGUUAAUCGGAAUUACUGGGCGUAAAGCGCGCGUAGGUGGUUUGUUAAGUUGGAUGUGAAAUCCCCGGGCUCAACCUGGGAACUGCAUUCAAAACUGACUGACUAGAGUAUGGUAGAGGGUGGUGGAAUUUCCUGUGUAGCGGUGAAAUGCGUAGAUAUAGGAAGGAACACCAGUGGCGAAGGCGACCACCUGGACUGAUACUGACACUGAGGUGCGAAAGCGUGGGGAGCAAACAGGAUUAGAUACCCACGUAGUCCCUGAGCGGGCUGGCAAGGCGCAU